CCUGGUAGCUCAGAUGGUAAAGCAUCUGCCUGCAAUUCAGGAGACCUGGGUUCGAUCCCUGGGUCAGGA
rnacentral:tRNA from 1 species